GACGAACGCUGGCGGCGUGCUUAACACAUGCAAGUCGAACGGAAAGGCCCUGCUUUUGUGGGGUGCUCGAGUGGCGAACGGGUGAGUAACACGUGAGUAACCUGCCCUUGACUUUGUGAUAACUUCAGGAAACUGGGGCUAAUACCGGAUAGGAGCUCCUGCUGCAUGGUGGGGGUUGGAAAGUUUCGGCGGUUGGGGAUGGACUCGCGGCUUAUCAGCUUGUUGGUGGGGGAGUGGCUUACCAAGGCUUCGACGGGUAGCCGGCCUGAGAGGGUGGCCGCCGACCUGGGGACUGAGAGAGGGCGCAGACGCGAACGGGAGGCAACAGUGGGGAGUAUGACACAGUGGGGGGAAGCGUGAGGCGACAGCGCCGCGUUCGGGAAGACGGCCUUCGGGUGGUAAACCGCUGUCGCCUGUGACGAAGCGGGAGUGACGGUAAUGGGUAAAGAAGCACCGGCUAACUACGUG
rnacentral:rRNA from 1 species